CCUACGGGUGGCAGCAGUGAGGAAUAUUGGUCAAUGGGCGCGAGCCUGAACCAGCCAAGUCGCGUGAGGGAAGACGGUCCUAUGGAUUGUAAACCUCUUUUGUAGGGGAGCAAAAGAAGCCACGCGUGGCGUUCUGAGAGUACCCGAUGAAAAAGCAUCGGCUAACUCCGUGCCAGCAGCCGCGGUAAUACGGAGGAUGCGAGCGUUAUCCGGAUUUAUUGGGUUUAAAGGGAGCGUAGGUGGUUUGUUAAGUCAGCUGUGAACGUUUGCGGCUCAACCGUAAAAUUGCAGUUGAAACUGGCAGUCUUGAGUAUAGUAGAGGUGGGCGGCAUUCGUGGUGUAGCGGUGAAAUGCUUAGCUAUCACGAAGAACUCCGAUUGCGAAGGCAGUUCACUGGACCGCAACUGACACUGAGGCUCGAAAGUGUGGGUAUCAAACAGGAUUAGAUACCCUUGUAGUC
rnacentral:rRNA from 1 species